ACUGAAAAACUCUGGUGCCUAAAGGGUUAUAAAUAAACAUACAAUUCAUGAAAUACAUUAGAAAUACAUAAAUUGAAAAAGAGAACCUGCCUUCCAGAUCUAACCAGGACACUGCAAGGUUCUGUGAGUAUUGGACCAAGCCUGGCAGCUGGGGGAGACUCUAGCGGCCCUACCUAUAGUAUGUUUGUGAUGUCAGUAACGGUGUCGGUAGGUCCGCGCUCCCACCCGUGCCACGUAGCACACCACCAGGCUUGAUCCAACAGUACGAUUAUCGCCGACUGGUAUUUAUACCCCACCUAUAAACACUACCUGUAGACUAAUGGUUUUAACCCCAAUUUUUUUUUUUUUUUUGCAAAUUUGAAUUAUACACUAUAUGGUUGAUACUUGUAAAUAAAAUAUGAAGAAAAACAAAUGUAAUUUUAAACGUUUUUUCCUUUAAAAAAGAAACAUUUUGAGCCGCAGUGCAUGCUGGGAAACGUGACGGAAUCUCGAUAGGUUCGCGCAUGCGGGGUAAGCGGUGCAACCGAUUUGCUUCCGCAUACAGAAAAUGCCCAACGCGAUGAGCUAAGCCUCGUUUGGCUGACCAAGAUGGCGGCUUGAGCGGACGUUAGUUUUCAACCUGUUGCGCCAAAAUUGUUUUAAAUGUUGUGGAAACGGUCUGAUUAAAUGCUACUUUUGAAAUGAUUACUGUUAUAGACCAAAAUGGAAACAAAAUCAGCUGUUCAAUGCUAUCUCUAAGGAGAGCAAAGCCAUGGCUAGCAGCAGCAGUGCUGUUAGCGGUGUUAGCAUGACUAGACCCAGAGGGCUAAUGCUGAACAAGACACGGUCAUCCCGGGCGAAGAAGAGUCUCCACUCCUGCCUUUUUCUACUGAAGGGACUCCAUGUAAAGAACAGCUUCCAAAAAAGCGCAACUUGCAACACCUCAAGUCUAUGCCGAGGACCUGUGUGAGGCGGAGCGGGAAAGCAGAGCAGCGCCGAGGCUUUGAUCCAAGCAGCAAGAAGAGAGGGGGAGUCGCCUACUACGCGGAUGGGCGUGGCUACAUCAAUGCCUAUGGCUUGUCCUGAUUGGUCCAGCAGCUCCGAGAAGGGAAUGAGGUAAUUGAAGAGGAGGAGCCACUCACCCUGAAUGUCACAAGAUGAAUGAUGACAGGAUACAAGUCAGACCUCAGUUUGACAUAAACUCAGAAAGUAUCUUAUAUUUUUAUAGAAAUAAACUAGAAAAAUAGUGAAUUUACAGAAAAAAUAAAAGGGACAGAAACAUUUUAGAGGAAAACAGGAAGCGGCACCUCUUC